GACGAACGCUGGCGGCGUGCUUAACACAUGCAAGUCGAACGGAAAGGUCCUGCUUGCAGGGUGCUCGAGUGGCGAACGGGUGAGUAACACGUGUGUGAUCUGCAUUGCACUUGGGGAUAAGGAUGGGUAACUGAGGAUAAUACCGGGGAGGAGACAUCUUGAGGGAGGAGGGGGGAGAGUUGUUUCGGUGUAGGAUGAGCGCGCGGCCUAUCAGGGUGGUGGUGGGGUAGUGGCCUACCAAGGCGGCGACGGGUAGCCGGCGUGGGUGGGUGUACGGGCACAGUGAGACUGGGAUUCGGCCCCGGCCCCGACUCGAGGCAGCGGUGGGGAAUAGUACACAAAGGGCGCGAGGCUGAUGCUGAUCCGCCGCGUCGGCGUUGAAGGCCUUGGCGUUGUAAUCGCCUUGCGCUAGCGGCUAAGCUGUUUGUGACGGUACCUGGAUAAGAAGCACCGGCUAACUACGUG
rnacentral:rRNA from 1 species